UGUGCUCUUCCGAUGUCCACUUGGGGGGGUACUGCUACCAGAAGUAGGAACGGCCCUAGAACCCUACAACCUUCACCCCACUCUGUCUUCCCUUGAAAUAAGCCUGUGACCACGGAAGGGGAGCAGAGCCCACAGAAACCUAGAGCCGAAGGAGCAUUUCUAGCCCCCAUGAGCAAGAAGAGGGGGUAGAGCCCGGUUGGGAUGGCAUGCCAGGAGUGGGCACUCCCCUUACCUGCUCUUCUUUUAGACAACCACCCUCCCUCCCUCAGGACCAGCCCGGAAGUCUCUCCAAGAGCCCCAAAGUCCAGGAAUCCCCACCAAAGGAUUCAGAAACAGCGCCCACAGUCCGGGGCCCCUCUGAACGGAGAGAGAGAGAGCACAAGCAGGGGAGAGACAGACAGCGAG